rnacentral:tRNA from 1 species
AUUUAAGUAGUUUAUAAAAAACAUUGAAUUGUGAUUUCAAAAAAAUAAAUAUAUAUCUUAAAUU